rnacentral:lncRNA from 1 species
AUGGCCCAAGUGUUUGAGACCCUAAACCCAUAGAAGAGAACUGGAUGAAAUUCCAGGCUCCUGGCUUUAGCCUGCCCCAGCCUUGGUAAUUGUAGCCAUUUGGGAAGUGAACUAGUGGAUGGGAGACUCUUUCUCUCUCUCUCUCUAACUUGCCUUUCAAUAGAUAUUAUUUAAAACAUUAAUCUUUGUUUCUAUUCUUGAUUUGUUUCUGUUUUUCAGAACUGAAAAUCAUAAAGACUAUCCUUUCCGUGCAGAGUACUGAGGACAGCUUCCUUCUUCCUCACUUCCAGACCAAUGGAUGCCAACGAUCGCAUCAUCAAAAAAGGGAUUAUGCUGCAGUUUACAAGAGUGGGGAUAAGUGAUCACUGUUCACCAAGUGUAUUUCAGCAUGCAGACAAUUAGGAAACAAAUGACAUAAGGAUACCAUUUGAGUUAGUAGGUUUAUCAUAGUUCUCUGCCCUUAGGAAACAUAGGGGUGAUUUUAAUGUAUUUCUUAUGAAAUGGACUUACAUAAAAGAACUUCAAAAAUUGUGUAUGGAGAUAUGUCAUUUAUUAUUCCUCUCUACAUGGCGAUUUGCUCUUGUGGGGCUCCAGAUUGUUCAACUGAAGAAUAAAUAUGUAUUAAUAUUGAUUGAGUAUAAUGUA